AAUAAAGUGCCUGAAUAAAGGAUUAUUCUGAUAGAAUAAAUUAUGUAAAUUUUAUUACCUUUAUUA
rnacentral:tRNA from 1 species